rnacentral:rRNA from 1 species
UACGAAGGGGGCUAGCGUUGUUCGGAAUUACUGGGCGUAAAGCGCACGUAGGCGGGUUGUUAAGUCAGGGGUGAAAUCCCGGAGCUCAACUCCGGAACUGCCUUUGAUACUGGCAAUCUAGAGACUGGAAGAGGUUAGUGGAAUUCCCAGUGUAGAGGUGAAAUUCGUAGAUAUUGGGAAGAACACCAGUGGCGAAGGCGGCUAACUGGUCCAGUACUGACGCUGAGGUGCGAAAGCGUGGGGAGCAAACAGGAUUAGAAACCCCAGUAGUCC